rnacentral:tRNA from 1 species
UCCUGGCUGGCUCAGUUGGUAGAGCCUGUGACUCUUCCUUCAUCUCAGGGUUGUGGGUUUGAGUCCCACGUUGGGUG